rnacentral:rRNA from 1 species
GACGAACGCUGGCGGCGUGCUUAACACAUACAAGUCGAACGGUGAAGCGCCUUCCUUUUUGGUGGGUGUGGAUGAGUGGCGAACGGGUGAGUAACACGUGAGUAACCUGCCCCCUUCUUCUGGAUAACCGCAUGAAAGUGUGGCUAAUACGGGAUAUUCUGGGUCUGUCGCAUGAUGGGUCUGGGAAAGAUAUUGUUUCGGUGGGGGAUGGGCUCGCGGCCUAUCAGCUUGUUGGCGGGGUGAUGGCCUACCAAGGCGGUGACGGGUAGCCGGCCUGAGAGGGUGGACGGUCACACUGGGACUGAGACACGGCCCAGACUCCUACGGGAGGCAGCAGUGGGGAAUAUUGCACAAUGGGCGCAAGCCUGAUGCAGCGACGCCGCGUGAGGGAUGGAGGCCUUCGGGUUGUGAACCUCUUUCGCCAGUGAAGCAGGCCUGCCUCGUUUGUGGGUGGGUUGACGGUAGCUGGAUAAGAAGCGCCGGCUAACUACGUG